UGAAUACGAGAUGCUACGGCGUCGAAGCAGUCUAUGUCAUACUUCCAAGAAAAGCUUGCACUGUCAUAAACAAAUAAUGCCUGUACCAUAACCGACACAGGUGGGUAGGUAGAGUAUACUAAGGGGCGCGAGAUAACUCUCUCUAAGGAACUCGGCAAAAUGACUCCGUAACUUCGGGAGAAGGAGUGCCUUAUUUAUAAGGUUGCAAUAACAAGAUCCAAGCAACUGUUUACCAAAAACACAGGUCUCCGCUAAGUCGUAAGACGAUGUAUGGGGGCUGACGCCUGCCCAGUGCCAGAAGGUUAAAGAAGUUGGUUAGCAUCCGCGAAGCUGAUAACUGAAGCCCUGGUGAACGGCGGCCGUAACAAUAACGGUCCUAAGGCAGCGAAAUUCCUUGUCGGGUAAGUUCCGACCCGCACGAAAGGCGUAAUGAUUUGGAUACUGUCUCGGAGAGGGGCUCGGUGAAAUAGACUUGUCUGUGAAGAUGCGGACUACCUGCACCAGGACAGAAAGACCCUAUGAAGCUUUACUGUAACCUGAAAUUGAAAUUGGACUUUACUUGCGCAGUAUAGGUGGGAGGCGUUGAGAGUAUUCUUGCGGGAUUAUUGGAGCCAUCAGUGAGAUACCACUCUUGUAAUGUUAGAUUUCUAACUUUGUAUCAUUAUCUGGUCAAAGAACAGUUUCAGGCGGGCAGUUUGACUGGGGCGGUCGCCUCCUAAACGGUAACGGAGGCGCACAAAGGUUUCCUCUGAACGGGUAGAAAUCGUAUCUAGAGUGUAAAGGCAUAAGGAAGCUUGACUGUGAGACCUACAAGUCGAGCAGGGACGAAAGUCGGUCUUAGUGAUCUGACGGUGCUGAGUGGAAAGGCCGUCACUCAACGGAUAAAAGUUACUCUAGGAUAACAGGCUGAUCUCCCCCAAGAGUUCACAUCGACGGGGAGGUUUGGCACCUCGAUGUCGGCUCAUCGCAUCCUGGGGCGGUAGUACGUCCCAAGGGUUGGGCUGUUCGCCCAUGAAAGCGGUACGCGAGCUGGGUUCAGAACGUCGUGAGACAGUUCGGUCCAUAUCCGGUGUAGGCGUUAGAAUAUUGAGAGGAGCCUUCUUUAGUACGAGAGGACCGAGAAGGACAUACCUCUGGUGUACCAGUUAUCGUGCCAACGGUAAACGCUGGGUAGCUAUGUGUGGAGUGGAUAACCGCUGAAAGCAUCUAAGUGGGAAGCCCACCUCAAGAUAAGUAUUCUCAU
rnacentral:rRNA from 1 species